AGAUGCAACACGAGAGAGAGGUACUUGAUCCAUAACCUCUCUAGAAUCAUGACUUCACAGAAUAUUCCCGGAAUUUAUCUAACUUUUGUUUGUUCCCCAUAAAAUUCCGCAAAAUGGGUUGUGGUGGAACCAAAUGGGUGGGUUCUUGUUGACUCAGACAAGUUGGUACAUAAUGACCCGGGCCGUGAGUCCCUACCGGUUCACUCCCACACGGUUCACUCCCACCUUACUAAUGUGUUGUCUCUAAAAACCAUUCUUCUCCGCAUGAAGAACCGAAUGAAGACCAUCAACACUAUUGGGAGGAAGGACAUUCCGAAAACUAUGAUUAAAAAGAUCAAUUGCAUCCAAGUAAUUGAAGUUGCCAUUGCAAUCAACUCUAGAGACAGCGCGAACUGCU